GGCCUGUAUGAGUACUGGAGACGGAGAGAGCGCGCGGAAGAAUCGUUAUAUUUCUGUAAAUGGUAAAAUCUAAAAAAGAGACGGAGACCGAGCUGUCAGGUUUAAUCGAUAAUUAUUUUAUGACGUUUGUGGAGCUUUUUUAUCCGUGUAUCUUUGACAUCAGUAUGCCAAAGCAGCUGUUUUCGCCGGGAUAGGAUGCCGAUGAUGACUGGUGCAGACAAGAUUAGACAAGGUUGCUUGCAGAGAUAGGAAAAUGUCUUUGGCACGCCUACAAAAUCUGCCCUGCGCCUAUACAAGCAUGAGGACAAUAGAUGCGCCUUGGUGUCAAUCGACUUCUAAACCUC